rnacentral:tRNA from 1 species
UGGGGACGUGGUGUAACGGGAGCACGCCGCGGUCGCAUCGCGGAAAUGAGGGUUCGAUUCCCUUCGUCUCCAG